AGAGUUUGAUCCUGGCUCAGGAUGAACGCUAGCUACAGGCUUAACACAUGCAAGUCGAGGGGAAACGAUAUUGGAAGCUUGCUUCCGAUAGGCGUCGACCGGCGCACGGGUGAGUAACGCGUAUCCAACCUGCCCAUCACUUGGGGAUAACCUUGCGAAAGUAAGACUAAUACCCAAUGACGUCUUUAGAAGACAUCUGAAAGAGAUUAAAGAUCUAUCGGUGAUGGAUGGGGAUGCGUCUGAUUAGCUUGUUGGCGGGGUAACGGCCCACCAAGGCGACGAUCAGUAGGGGUUCUGAGAGGAAGGUCCCCCACAUUGGAACUGAGACACGGUCCAAACUCCUACGGGAGGCAGCAGUGAGGAAUAUUGGUCAAUGGGCGAGAGCCUGAACCAGCCAAGUAGCGUGCAGGAUGACGGCCCUAUGGGUUGUAAACUGCUUUUAUAAGGGAAUAAAGUGAGAGUCGUGACUCUUUUUGCAUGUACCUUAUGAAUAAGGACCGGCUAAUUCCGUGCCAGCAGCCGCGGUAAUACGGAAGGUCCGGGCGUUAUCCGGAUUUAUUGGGUUUAAAGGGAGCGUAGGCCGGAAAUUAAGCGUGUUGUGAAAUGUGGACGCUCAACGUCUGCACUGCAGCGCGAACUGGUUUCCUUGAGUACGCACAAAGUGGGCGGAAUUCGUAGUGUAGCGGUGAAAUGCUUAGAUAUCACGAAGAACUCCGAUUGCGAAGGCAGCUCACUGGAGCGCAACUGACGCUGAAGCUCGAAAGUGCGGGUAUCGAACAGGAUUAGAUACCCUGGUAGUCCGCACGGUAAACG
rnacentral:rRNA from 1 species